UGCGCCCACGAGCAGUCGGAGCAACUUUCAGUUGUGACGGCGUGCCUUUUGUAGAAUGAGCCAGCGAGUCGCUGGCGCGGGGCGAGGUUAACCGAAAGGGAGCCGGAGCGAAAGCGAGCCUUAACAGGGCGACUUGAGUCCCGCGCCGCGGACGCGAAGCCGGGUGAGCUAUCCGUGGGCAGGCUGAAGCGGGGGUAAGACCCCGUGGAGGGCCGAACGCACGUCGGUUGAAAACGGCGGCGAUGACCUGCGGAUAGGGGUGAAAGGCCAAUCAAACCCGGAGAUAUCUCGUUCUCCCCGAAAUAGCUUUAGGGCUAGCGUCGCGCGUUCACCGCCGGAGGUAGAGCACCGGAUGGACGAGGGGGCUUCGCCGCCUACCGAAUCCAACCGAACUCCGAAUGCCGGCGGCCCAGAGCGCGGCAGUCAGAGCAUGUGGGCUAAGCUGUGUGCUCGAGAGGGAAACAGCCCGGACCGCCCGCUAAGGUCCCCAAGUUCCAGCCGAGUGGCAAAGGAUGUGCGUCCGCCCAGACAACCAGGAUGUUGGCUUAGAAGCAGCCAUGCAUUCAAAGAGUGCGUAACAGCUCACUGGUCGAGUGGACAUGCGCCGACAAUACACGGGGCUAAGCUGGACACCGAAGCGGCGGGAUUUUAAUUCAUUAGAAUCGGUAGGGGAGCUUCCCAUGGGCGGAGAAGCCGGAGGGCGACCGACGGUGGAGCGCAUGGGAGUGAGAAUGCUGGCAUGAGUAGCGAGAGACGAGAGAGUAACUCGUCCGCCGUGAACCCGAGGUUUCCUGGGCAAGGCUAAUCCUCCCAGGGUCAGUCGGGGGCUAAGGCGAGGCCGGUAGGCGUAGCCGACGCGCAGCAGGCAGACAUUCCUGCACCGCGCACGCGGCGCUACGACCGACGGGGCGACGGAUGGGGGUGGCUCGGCGGGGUUCUGGACGUCCCCGUGAUGGAGCGCGGCCCGCGGACCAGGGAAAUCCGGUCCGCAGAAGGGCGAGGCUCCGGACGAAGCGACUGAGCGAAGCGAGUGAGCCCGAGGUCCCUAGAAAAACCCCUAGGCAGGCGCGUGCGCGCCCGUACCGCAAACCGACACAGGUGGGUGGGUAGAACAUACCGAGGCGAUCGGGUCAACCAUGGUCAAGGAACUCGGCACAAUGGCCCCGUAACUUCGGGAGAAGGGGUGCCCGCGCGUACGUGAACCGGCUUGCCCGGGGAGCGGAGGCGGGCCGCAGUGGAGAGGCCCAAGCGACUGUUUACCAAAAACACAGGACUCUGCAGAAGCCGCAAGGCGACGUAUAGGGUCUGACGCCUGCCCGGUGCCGGAAGGUCACGCGGAGGAGUUAGCCGAUUCGGCGAAGCCCCGAAGCCAAGCCCCGGUAAACGGCGGCCGUAACUAUAACGGUCCUAAGGUAGCGAAAUUCCUUGUCGGGUAAGUUCCGACCUGCACGAAAGGCGCAACGACUUGGGCGCUGUCUCGACCAUGGACCCGGUGAAAUUGCACUGGUCGUGAAGAUGCGACUUACCCGCGGAAGGACGGAAAGACCCCGUGAACCUUCACUGCAGCUUGGCAUUGGCCGCUGGUCCCGCGUGUAGAGGAUAGGCAGGAGGCUGAGAUCCGGAGGCGCCAGCCCCCGGGGAGCCGCCCUUGGAAUACUGCCCUCGCGCGACCGGCGUCCUAACCCGAGGCCGUCAACCGGCUCGGGGACCGUGCCAGGCGGGCAGUUUGACUGGGGCGGUCGCCUCCUAAAGGGUAACGGAGGCGCGCGAAGGUCCGCUCGGGACGGUCGGCAACCGUCCUUUUGAAUGCAAGAGUACAAGCGGGCUUGACUGCGAGGCCCACAAGCCGAGCAGGUGCGAAAGCAGGCUCUAGUGAUCCGGCGGCCCCGAGUGGGUGGGCCGUCGCUCAACGGAUAAAAGGUACUCCGGGGAUAACAGGCUGAUCUUGCCCAAGAGUCCACAUCGACGGCAAGGUUUGGCACCUCGAUGUCGGCUCAUCGCAUCCUGGGGCUGUAGCAGGUCCCAAGGGUUGGGCUGUUCGCCCAUUAAAGCGGUACGCGAGCUGGGUUCAGAACGUCGUGAGACAGUUCGGUCCCUAUCCUCCGUGGGCGCAGGAGAAUCGAUGGAGGCUGCCCCCAGUACGAGAGGACCGGGGUGGACGCACCUCCGGUGAACCGGUUGUCGACCAACGGCACGGCCGGGUAGCCGCGUGCGGCGCGGAUAACCGCUGAAGGCAUCUAAGCGGGAAGCCGUUCCAGGGAUUAGUUCUCCUUCCGGUAAGGGCCCAGGUAGACUACCUGGUCGAUAGACGGCAGGUGCAAGGACGGCGACGUCCUCAGCCGAGCCGCACUAAUCGCCCGAGCUCUUCCGGA
rnacentral:rRNA from 1 species